rnacentral:rRNA from 1 species
AUUGAACGCUGGCGGCAUGCCUUACACAUGCAAGUCGAACGGCAGCAUGAUCUAGCUUGCUAGAUUGAUGGCGAGUGGCGAACGGGUGAGUAAUACAUCGGAACGUGCCCUGUAGUGGGGGAUAACAAGUCGAAAGAUUAGCUAAUACCGCAUACGACCUGAGGGUGAAAGUGGGGGACCGCAAGGCCUCAUGCUAUAGGAGCGGCCGAUGUCUGAUUAGCUAGUUGGUGAGGUAAAGGCUCACCAAGGCGACGAUCAGUAGCUGGUCUGAGAGGACGAUCAGCCACACUGGGACUGAGACACGGCCCAGACUCCUACGGGAGGCAGCAGUGGGGAAUUUUGGACAAUGGGCGAAAGCCUGAUCCAGCAAUGCCGCGUGUGUGAAGAAGGCCUUCGGGUUGUAAAGCACUUUUGUCCGGAAAGAAAUGGCUCUGGUUAAUACCUGGGGUCGAUGACGGUACCGGAAGAAUAAGGACCGGCUAACUACGUG